CACAUUCGUGCAAAUUUAGACUCAGAGUACAGGUCCAUAUCAAAUGUAACUUAGCUCAUAAAUGGUCUAGGUAGAUAUCUCAACUCAGAUUUACCUCUCCACAAAGCUGAUACUUUUUCCACUGUUCAUAACAUCUCUAUGUUCAAAGAACAAGAAAGUUAUAGUUUUACAAUCCUGAUGGGGCAAUAUAUUAUUUAAACAAAAGUUUCACGUAUUUCAAGAAUAUACUUACUGGCAAAGCUCAUUCUUGUGAUCUAAAUUUCAAUCUCCAGGAAAUACACACAUUCAGAAUGAGUAAUGCUCCCAUUUCCUUUGAGUCAUCUCUCCAGUGCCUCGUGUGCUCAUGCCCUUCCUCUUGGCCUACUUUUUGACCAUGAAAAUUCCAAUUCAUCUUUCAAAAUGGAGUCUAAUAUCAUCUCCUCAAAGAAACCUUAUUUAUUCAAGUCCUGUCUCUUCUUUACCACCCCCCAAACUAACGUUUUCUUUCUGGCUCUGGAAACAGGACAUUUCAGCAUGACAUUUCUUAACUGAGUACUUAUCUCUUAAUAGAUCAGUUUUCUCCUACAAGGCUAUGACCUCCACAAUUGCAAAUAUGGAAGCCAAAAUUAUUUGAAGUUCAUGGUGUUCUUUCGUUCUACCCAACUCCCCCACAAAUGAACUGCUUCUAAGGGGAAUUUUCUACUGAAUGUCACCUUUGACUAUACUGAAAAAAGAAUACUGAAGCAACCUGUGUAACUCCCUUUACACUACUGUCAAUUGCAUAGCCUCUUAUUUCUUUCAUGUCACUUCUGAUUGCAGUUUGCAAAUUCUGCUGUGGUUUGUUGGUAAGGAUGUAAAACUUCUAUGGGUUUCACCUAAAAAAGAAGAAACUGGUAUAUGAUUUUCCUUAAAAAGACAGGAGAAAAGAAAAAAAGGUAAAGGAGAUUUCUCUUUUAAUUUUCCAUUAUUGUAUUGUGAACUUAGAAAAAUUCAUCGCAUAUAGGAGAUGGUUGAUAAAUAUAUAUUAAUUGAAGAAGUACAUGGGCAUGGUUCCAGCCUUUCAGUCACUAAAAUGUUACAAACGAUUAACAUUCUA